rnacentral:rRNA from 1 species
GAUGAACGCUGGCGGCGUGCCUAAUACAUGCAAGUCGAACGCAUAUCUUCGGAUAUGAGUGGCGAACGGGUGAGUAAUACACAAGUAACCUGGCCUUAAGAGGGGGAUAACUAUUAGAAAUGAUAGCUAAGACCGCAUAGGUAUGAAGAUCGCAUGAUCGACAUAUUAAAUAUCCCAAGGGAUAGCUGAAGGAUGGACUUAUGGCACAUUAGCUAGUUGGUAGGGUAACGGCCUACCAAGGCGACGAUGCGUAGCCGACCUGAGAGGGUGGACGGCCACACUGGGACCGAGACACGGCCCAGACUCCUACGGGAGGCAGCAGUAGGGAAUUUUCGGCAAUGGGGGGAACCCUGACCGAGCAACGCCGCGUGAGGGAGGAAGUAUUUCGGUAUGUAAACCUCUGUUAUAAAGGAAGAACGGUGCAUGUAGGGAAUGACAUGCAAGUGACGGUACUUUAUGAGGAAGCCACGGCUAACUACGUGCCAGCAGCCGCGGUAAUACGUAGGUGGCGAGCGUUAUCCGGAAUUAUUGGGCGUAAAGAGGGAGCAGGCGGCAGCUAAGGUCUGCGGUGAAAGCCCGAAGCUAAACUUCGGUAAGCCGUGGAAACCGAGCAGCUAGAGUGCAGUAGAGGAUCGUGGAAUUCCAUGUGUAGCGGUGAAAUGCGUAGAUAUAUGGAGGAACACCAGUGGCGAAGGCGACGAUCUGGGCUGCAACUGACGCUCAGUCCCGAAAGCGUGGGGAGCAAAUAGGAUUAGAUACCCUAGUAGUCCACGCCGUAAACGAUGAGUACUAAGUGUUGGGGGUCAAACCUCAGUGCUGCAGUUAACGCAAUAAGUACUCCGCCUGAGUAGUACGUUCGCAAGAAUGAAACUCAAAGGAAUUGACGGGGGCCCGCACAAGCGGUGGAGCAUGUGGUUUAAUUCGAAGCAACGCGAAGAACCUUACCAGGUCUUGACAUCGAUCUAAAGGAUCCAGAGAUGGAUAGAUAGUUAUAGAGAGGACAGGUGGUGCAUGGUUGUCGUCAGCUCGUGUCGUGAGAUGUUGGGUUAAGUCCCGCAACGAGCGCAACCCUUGUCGUUAGUUACCAGCAGUAAGAUGGGGACUCUAGCGAGACUGCCUCUGCAAGGAGGAGGAAGGCGGGGAUGACGUCAAAUCAUCAUGCCCCUUAUGACCUGGGCUACACACGUGCUACAAUGGACGGAUCAAAGGGAAGCGAAGCCGCGAGGUGAAGCGAAACUCAAAAACCCGUUCUCAGUUCGGACUGCAGUCUGCAACUCGACUGCACGAAGUUGGAAUCGCUAGUAAUCGCGAAUCAGAAUGUCGCGGUGAAUACGUUCUCGGGCCU